CACGUAGGGCGCAAGCGUUGUCCGGAAUUAUUGGGCGUAAAGAGCUCGUAGGCGGUCUGUUACGUCUGCUGUGAAAACCCAGGGCUCAACCCUGGGCCUGCAGUCGAUACGGGCGGACUAGAGUUCGGCAGGGGGAGACUGGAAUUCCUGGUGUAGCGGUGAAAAUGCGCAGAUAUCAGGAGGAACACCGGUGGCGAAGGCGGGUCUCUGGGCCGAUACUGACGCUGAGGAGCGAAAGCGUGGGGAGCGAACAGGA
rnacentral:rRNA from 1 species